rnacentral:misc_RNA from 1 species
UCUCCGUUGGUGAACCAGCGGAGGGAUCAUUACAGAGUUGAAAAACUCACAAACCAUUGUGAACGUUACCUAUCCCGUUGCUUCGGCCGGCGGCCCGGGCCCCGUCCCCGGCGCCCCCCGGCCCCCCGUGGGCGCCCGCCGGAGUUAAACCAAACCCUCGAAUUGUAUGGCCUAUAUGUGUAUUCUGUACUGAAUAAGUCAAAACUUUCAACAACGGAUCUCUUGGUUCUGGCAUCGAUGGAGAACGCAGC